UGAGGAAUAUUGGUCAAUGGACGGAAGUCUGAACCAGCCAUGCCGCGUGAAGGAAGAAUGCCCUAUGGGUUGUAAACUUCUUUUAUCUGGGAGCAAUAAGCGCCAUGCGUGGUGUGAUGAGAGUACCAGAGGAAUAAGCAUCGGCUAACUCCGUGCCAGCAGCCGCGGUAAUACGGAGGAUGCAAGCGUUAUCCGGAUUUAUUGGGUUUAAAGGGUGCGUAGGCUGACGCGUAAGUCAGCGGUGAAAUAUCUCGGCUCAACCGGGAGGCUGCCGUUGAUACUGCGCGACUAGAGUUCGAACGGCGCCGGCGGAAUAUGUCAUGUAGCGGUGAAAUGCUUAGAUAUGACAUAGAACACCGAUCGCGAAGGCAGCUGGCGAGGACGUAACUGACGCUGAGGCACGAAGGCGUGGGGAUCGAACAGGAUUAGAUACCCUGGUA
rnacentral:rRNA from 1 species